AUUGAACGCUGGCGGCAGGCUUAACACAUGCAAGUCGAGCGGAGUGAUGGUGCUUGCACUAUCACUUAGCGGCGGACGGGUGAGUAAUGCUUAGGAAUCUGCCUAUUAGUGGGGGACAACAUCUCGAAAGGGAUGCUAAUACCGCAUACGUCCUACGGGAGAAAGCAGGGGAUCACUUGUGACCUUGCGCUAAUAGAUGAGCCUAAGUCGGAUUAGCUAGUUGGUGGGGUAAAGGCCUACCAAGGCGGCGAUCUGUAGCGGGUCUGAGAGGAUGAUCCGCCACACUGGGGCUGAGACACGGCCCGGCCUCCUACGGGAGGCAGCAGUGGGGAAUAUUGGACAAUGGGGCGAACCCUGAUCCAGCCAUGCCGCUUGUGUGAAGAAGGCCUUAUGGUUGUAAAGCACUUUAAGCGAGGAGGAGGCUCUUUUGGUUAAUACCCAAGAUGAGUGGACGUUACUCGCAGAAUAAGCACCGGCUAACUCUGUGCCAGCAGCCGCCGUAA
rnacentral:rRNA from 1 species